rnacentral:lncRNA from 1 species
GAUCUAUAGUGAUUUGCUCAGUGCCUUGCACACAGGCACUGUUGGGGGCUGCUCCCAGAGGUUGUGUUGCAGGGACUGGAGAGAGGACUUCCCAGUACAGGGGGUGGCCCUCUGAUCAGGUGGGGGUGGGUGGCAGCAGAGCAUUUGGUAGGAGGUCAGGAGCUCACAGGAGAUGGGAUUCUGCCGAUGCCUGCUGAAUGAAUGAGGGAGGGAGACGGCAGGACCAGGGACUGGGGAAUUGGUACUAAGGUGCUGGGUACCUGCCGGGCACUCUGUCCAUACAUGAUCUCAGUUCAGCUCUCCACCUUGGAAACACAAGAAAGGAGCCGUGGCUGCAGAGAAAAACAGAGGCUGGAAACAGGGGUACAUGGGCAGGGUGGUGGUGGUGAGAGAAUUGCCUGAAUCAGCUGCCAAAUGGUGCCCAGGUUGGAAAAGCAAAUGUGCACACAUGGGUUCUUCCCACUCUAACCCUGAGGAAUUAGAGGCCUGCUUCUGACACAGACUGGGCAGUGGCUAGUGACUCUAGGUAUAGAGUAUCCAGGCCCUGCUCACCCAGGCUAGAGCUUAGGGAGCCAGAAGGAAGGAGGUGCAUGUUGGGGUGCAGGACAGGAGGGAAAAAUACUCGAAUUGCAAGGUGAGGGCACAGUCUAUUUAUAUUGGGUUGAAUUAACUCCUCCCCCUGAUGCCACUAAAGCAGGAAUCACACUGCAGAUGGCACUGAUUUGAUUGGCAAGAGACAUGCCAGGAAGAAUAUUAAGGGACCGGACCCCUAUAAUUAGGCCUAAUCAUAGCCUGUUGUUUGAAAAGGGCAUGAAGGACAUUCAUCAGGCCUGGCACUGUGCCCUAGACCUGCUCUCCUGGGUAGUGGGACCCUCCGUGGCAACAGAGGUGUGGGUGGGCCUGGGUGAGUGUGGCAAGAAAUGCCUCGGAGGCUCUAUUUGGCCUUAAAGUGCUGUGUGACCUUGGAUAAACUGCCCUCUCUGAAUCUCUGGUCCUUUCCAUUUCCCAUUCUCCAGGCUGAGAACUGCACUGUGAUAUAUGGUUAUUCCCAUAAUAAUAAUGUGUGUAUCAUGCAUAAUGCACUGCACCUCUUCACCACGCUGGUGCCCACUCUUCUGCUCCCCCUGCCGGAUUCCUCAGCCCCUUCUACCCUGAUGGUUCUCUCCUUUCCUCCUCAGGCCAGCACUUCCCAUGAUCUGAGAUGUCCGUCCUCCUUCCUCUUCAACUUUUUCUCCAGCAGUGAGUUCCUCCUCCUAACUGAGGCUUCCAGGAAGGAUAUCCUCUGCUUCUCAGACCUGAACCUGCCUUGAAUACUCAUGAGGACCCAGGAGCUACUCCUCACCUCCCACUUCUCUUCCCUCCUGUCAGAUAACCAAGGCACGGCCAACUGAUCUCCAACCAUCUGAGGAACCCAACCGUGUGAGACCACCCACACCUUUCAAGAAUGUUCCUCCCCUCCCCUUCUUUGUAUUUAUACUGAUGCAAAUUUGCUGGCCAUCUUAACUCAGUCCUGUGCCUCAGUUCUCCCACCUGUAAGAUCAGGAGGAGGAUAAAGAUGUAAGACUUUCUGCACACGUUUUAAGAUGAAUUCCUUGUUACCACAUCUGAGGGUGUCUGUGUUUACUGUACUAUCCACGUGAGAGGAUUGUACAGACACGAAUCUAAACAAGGAAGUAGCAAGUCCAUUCAAGCAUUAAGAGGCUGAUUAGUGGUUUAUUCAUUCUGUCUGCAAGCAUCUACUGAUCAUCUAUUCAGUGCAGACCAUUAUCACAACAAAGGUGAAUAAGACACUAUGCAAUAGCCAGGGAAACAGCCUCAAAAACAGUUAAACUCUAAUCCAGCCAUGAGUACAAUGCUAAGGAGGGACAAAUUCCCUUCUAGGGCUAGGGAAGUCAGGAAAAAACCUCUCAGCAGAAUGUGUGCCUCUCUACCAGGCCCAGGGAGAAGGUGCAGAGACAGCAUUCCAGGUGGGGAGCAGUGGCUCACACCUAUAAUCCUAGAAGUUGUGUGGGAACCGCUGAGCGGAACACCCUCCCCCAGCGGGAAAUCCGGGACACGCAGGAGCCUCAGUGAAUCCGACCAUUGUCUCAUCUCACCAGGUCACCCGGCUGGAAAGAGUGGCAGAGCCCCGUCUGGUCAGGAACUGGGUUGGGAUGAGCUCCCCGGACAAGCGGCUGGAUGAUGUCUUGUACCUGUUGGAGAGACUGCAGGGUUUGAGGAGGGAGAGAAGAGCCAAGUCUUGGAGGCGCUGGACUUGCUGCGACACAGGAAAACGAGAUGUGCAGGGCAAGGGAUGGCGAUGAGGAGGAAAGGGGCCACUUGGAUCUUUCCUAAGGUAGGAGAGUAGUCACAGAGGAUAAGAGUCCAGCUGGAGUGAAGCAGUACGGGGGUAGUCCUUCUAUUUUAGGGUUGCCAGAUAAAAUACAGUAUGCAAAAUCAAUGUGUCUGAUGUCUUGAACAGCUGUUGCCUGCCAAAAUGGACAAAGAACCAAGAGCAGCUGCAGGCCACGCACCACCACUGGGAUUGCUGUGACCUUCCUGCCUUGCCCCUGGGUCUUAAAUCACCAAACUCUAUGGCUCACACUGGGCUGACACUGCUGACCUUACAGCCUUGCAAAUGAUGUCAUCACCAUACGUUCUUCACUCAUGACGUGGCAUGGAUUUGACCAAAGGCGUGAU